CCUACGGGUGGCAGCAGUGCGGAAUAUUGGUCAAUGGGCGAAAGCCUGAACCAGCCAAGUCGCGUGAAGGAUGACUGCUCUAUGGGUUGUAAACUUCUUUUAUAAUUGAAUCAAGUGAGGCACGUGUGCCUUUUUGUAUGUACUUUAUGAAUAAGGAUCGGCUAACUCCGUGCCAGCAGCCGACGGAAUACUGAGGAUCCGAGCGUUAUCCGGAUUUAUUGGGUUUAAAGGGAGAGUAGAUGGGUUGGUAAGUCAGUUGUGAAAGGUUGCGGCUCAAAAGUAAAAUUGCAAUUGAUAAUGGCAGUCUGGAGUACAGGUGAGGGAGGCGGAAUUCGUGGUGUAGCGGUGAAAUGCUUAGAUAUCACGAAGAACUCCGAUUGCGAAGGCAGCUUACUAAACUGCCACUGACAUUGAUGCUCGAAAGUGUGGGGAUCAAACAGGAUUAGAUACCCCUGUAGUC
rnacentral:rRNA from 1 species